UACAGAGGGUGCGAGCGUUAAUCGGAAUUACUGGGCGUAAAGGGCGCGUAGGCGGUUAUUUAAGUUAGAUGUGAAAUCCCUGGGCUUAACCUAGGAAUUGCAUCUGAUACUGGAUGGCUUGAGUGCGGUAGAGGGUAGUGGAAUUUCCGGUGUAGCGGUGAAAUGCGUAGAUAUCGGAAGGAACACCAGUGGCGAAGGCGGCUACCUGGACUGACAUUGACGCUGAGGAGCGAAAGCUAGGGGAGCAAACGGG
rnacentral:rRNA from 1 species